AACGAACGCUGGCGGCGUGCCUAACACAUGCAAGUCGAACGGAGUUAAGGGGCUUGCUCCUUAUUUUAGUGGCGCACGGGUGAGUAACGCGUAGAUAAUCUGCCUGAUGAUCUGGGAUAACAGUUCGAAAGGACUGCUAAUACCGGAUAAGCCCACGGGGUCUUUGGACUCUGCGGGAAAAGGGGGGGACCUUCGGGCCUUCUGUAAUCAGAUGAGUCUGCGUACCAUUAGCUAGUUGGUAGGGUAAUGGCCUACCAAGGCUACGAUGGUUAGCGGGUCUGAGAAGAUGAUCAGCCACACGGGAACUGAGACACGGUCCAGACUCCUACGGGAGGCAGCAGUGGGGAAUUUUGCGCGAUGGGCGAAAGCCUGAAGCAGCAACGCCGCGUGAGUGAUGAAGGCUUUCGGGUCGUAAAGCUCUGUCAGAGGGAAAGAAGUGUAUUGUGGCUAAUAUCCACGAUACUUGACGGUACCCUCAAAGGAAGCACCGGCUAACUCCGUGCCAGCAGCCGCAGUAACAC
rnacentral:rRNA from 1 species